rnacentral:rRNA from 1 species
CCUACGGGAGGCAGCAGUAGGGAAUAUUGCUCAAUGGGGGAAACCCUGAAGCAGCAACGCCGCGUGCAGGAUGAAGGCUUUAGGAUUGUAAACCUCUUUUGUUAGGGAAGUAUAUGACGGUAUCUAACGAAUAAGCCCCGGCUAACUCCGUGCCAGCAGCCGCGGUAAUACGGAGGGUGCAAGCGUUACUCGGAAUCACUGGGCGUAAAGGGUGCGUAGGCGGGGUAAUAAGUCAGAUGUGAAAUCCUGUAGCUUAACUACAGAACUGCAUUUGAAACUGUUAAUCUGGAGUGUGGGAGGGGUAGGUGGAAUUCUUGGUGUAGGGGUAAAA